UACGUAGGGUGCAAGCGUUAAUCGGAAUUACUGGGCGUAAAGCGUGCGCAGGCGGUUUUGUAAGCCAGACGUGAAAUCCCCGGGCUUAACCUGGGAAUGGCGUUUGGGACUGGGAGUCUGGAGUGCGGCAGAGGAGACUGGAAUUCCUGGUGUAGCAGUGAAAUGCGUAGAUAUCAGGAGGAACACCGAUGGCGAAGGCAGGUCUCUGGGCUGACACUGACGCUCAUGCACGAAAGCGUGGGGAGCAAACAGG
rnacentral:rRNA from 1 species